AAAAGAUAUACUUCUAAGAGACUGUCAACAUAAUAAAUGAAAGGUAGCCUCCACCUUCACCCCAGAUGUCUACCUCCUGGUAUACACACCCUUGUGUAAUCCCUUUCCUUUGAUUGUGAACUGGAGUUACUGACUUGUUAAUGACUAGAAUAUGGCAAACAUUAUGGAAUAUCACAUACAACAUCUCAGAGGAACACAGCUUCAGAUAACAGUUUGAUUGCCAUUUCAUGAAAGACCCUGAGCCAGAGGCACCAAAGUAAGCUACAACCGGAAUUCUGAUCCACAGACACUGGGGGAUAAUAAAGGGCACUGAAUGAGCUGUAAAAGGUCAGAAGAAGCCAUCCUGAAGAAACAGCUAAAUAAAUUUGUGGAAGCUAAAUAUAGAAAUGAACAACAACAGAAAGAGAAAAAAGUUAAAAUGAUGCUUAGCAAUGGCAAGAAGAUUUUGAAUAUAUUUGAUAAUGACAGAUCACAAGUGAAGAAAAUAGGACUCUCUAUCUUGGCCAACAGUUGUUAAUGGGGAUUCCGUGCUCCUAAUCUGUGCCUGGCACUGCAAGAUGCAUACUUUUUGGAGCUCACGGGACACAGAGAGCAAAGGACAAGAAGAAAACAAGGAGAGUUAAGAUCUUGCUCAUUGUGGAAUAACCUGGGAGUGGGGUGACCAGUGAGAAGUGGAUUCUAAUACAGAGGACAAGAGUGGAGAGUCCAGGUUUGUUGCUGCACGCCAUAGGGAAGACCAGAGUGAAUACUCUCUGUGGGAGGCAGAUCCGGGAAGAGGGAAUCCAGAAGGAGCUGAGCCACCAGAACAAUUUUCUUCUCUGAAGUUCACCAAUCAAACAAAUCACUUCUUCACCCUGGGAAGAAGUUAGUCAAGGUAUGGAAAACACAAAGGUUUUUAUUCUAGUAAAAUUCCUAAUACAAUAAUAUUC
rnacentral:lncRNA from 10 species